rnacentral:rRNA from 1 species
GGUUGCGAUCAUACCAGCAGUAAUGCACCGGAUCCCAUCAGAACUCCGCAGUUAAGCGUGCUUGGGCGAGAGUAGUACUAGGAUGGGUGACCCCCUGGGAAGUCCUCGUGUUGCAUCCC